UCGGGUUGUCAUGCCAAUGGCACUGCCCGGUAGCUAAAUGCGGAAGAGAUAAGUGCUGAAAGCAUCUAAGCACGAAACUUGCCCCGAGAUGAGUUCUCCCUGAGACUAUAAGUCUCCUGAAGGAACGUUAAAGACGAUGACGUUGAUAGGCCGGGUGUGUAAGCGCAGCGAUGCGUUGAGCUAACCGGUACUAAUGAACCGUGAGGCUUAACCUUACAACGCCGAAG
rnacentral:rRNA from 1 species